rnacentral:guide_RNA from 1 species
AAACUCUGAUAACUGAUUUUACGAAGAUGAGAGAUUAAAUU